GAAGUGGGGAUGACGUCAAAUCAUCAUGCCCCUUAUGACCUGGGCUACACACGUGCUACAAUGGGCGGUACAAAGGGUCGCGAACCCGCGAGGGGGAGCCAAUCCCAAAAAGCCGCUCUCAGUUCGGAUUGCAGGCUGCAACUCGCCUGCAUGAAGCCGGAAUCGCUAGUAAUCGCGGAUCAGCAUGCCGCGGUCGAAUACGUUCCCGGGCCUU
rnacentral:rRNA from 1 species